AGAGUUUGAUCCUGGCUCAGAACGAACGUUGGCGGCGUGCUUAACACAUGCAAGUCGAACGAGAAAGUUUCCUUCGGGAAGCGAGUAAAGUGGCGCACGGGUGAGUAACACGUAGAUAAUCUGUCCAAGUGUUCGGGAUAGCCCUUCGAAAGGGGGAUUAAUACCGGAUACGUCAGUCUUUCAUAAGUGAGAUUGAGAAAGGUGGCCUCUAUUUAUAAGCUAUCGCAUUUGGAGGAGUCUGCGUACCAUUAGUUUGUUGGUGGGGUAAUGGCCUACCAAGACUUCGAUGGUUAGCGGGUCUGAGAGGAUGAUCCGUCACACUGGCACUGAAACACGGGCCAGACUCCUACGGGAGGCAGCAGUGAGGAAUAUUGCGCAAUGGGGGAAACCCUGACGCAGCGACGCCGCGUGGGUGAGGAAGGCUUUCGGGUCGUAAAGCCCUGUCAGAAGGGAAGAAAUGUGUAUAGGUUAAUAUCUUAUACAUUUGACGGUACCUUCAAAGGAAGCACCGGCUAACUCCGUGCCAGCAGCNCGCGGUAAUACGGAGGGUGCAAACGUUGUUCGGAAUCACUGGGCGUAAAGGGCGCGCAGGCGGNUUGAUUAGUCAGAUGUGAAAGCCCACGGCUUAACCGUGGAAGUGCA
rnacentral:rRNA from 1 species